rnacentral:ncRNA from 1 species
GUAAAUGUAGUGAUUGGGAUAAGUAGGCGUAUUCCACUCCGGCAGAGAGGUAUUGUCAUAGGCUGCGAGCAAUACCGGGAACGGGGCGCUGAAAUGCACCCAUGAACAGGGUGGGCGAAAAAACGUCAGAAUGGCUGUUUCGUAGGCUAUCCCGGAGGCAUCCGUUACCAGGGCGAAGAGUGAGUUAUGCAGAGCAUAGCUAAACAGAGUGGAACCACGGCCACCGUCUCUGUA